rnacentral:tRNA from 1 species
UGUAGCUUAGUGAUAAAGUACUUGCUUGGCAUGCAUUAGGUCCUGGGUUCAAUUCCCAGCA